CAUUUCUAUUCAUGAUUGCAUCCAACGCGCGACGCCAUUUCUAUUUUCUUCUUCAUUACCAAAUUUUCCAGUAAAUACCUCGGUUGUUUAACUGCAUUCCUAAACUCGCCGCCUCACUCCUUGCCGGCGCCCUUCUCCGUUCAACUGCAGCGUCGCUAUUUCUUCCUCCAUUCUCACUGGUAAACAAGGAUAUUGAGAUCGAUUUAUACCAAGUAUGAAAGAACCAAAAAAAAAGAUGGUGUCCUGGUAGUUCCACAAGCUGCAUGGGUGGCUUAUUAUAUCCUUUUGACUUCGACCGCAGGAGCAUGGCCAAGAAAAUCUUUAAUCAAAAGAGACGUAAUGGUGGCCUGGAAACCCCUCGAAAUAGCCUGGAGCUACAGAUGGAGAGUUCUCAAAGUUAUUGUACUGCAGAAGAAAUACCGUACUCCUAUCAAAUUGAUGAAGUGUUUUCUGACAAGGACUAUUUAAAGAAUGAGACUUCAAUGAAGAAAUUAAUUGAUAAGGAAAUGUCCUCGCGCACGAGUGCCAAACAUCAUGGACCAAGCAUUGUUGCUCGACUCAUGGGGAUGGAUAUGUUGCCCUUGGAUGCAAAAGAUGAAGUUGAGCUCAGUGACAAGAGGCACAAUAGCAAGGGAGUUAAGACUUCAAGUAAAGAAAUUAAUGGCAGGGGCUUGCAUUCUGAUGCAUCCUCCAAAUCGAAUUCUUAUAAGAAGAUGGACGUGCACUCAUCUUAUCAUGAUAAUGACAAGGAUGCUGAUCGAUGGAGGAGUACCAGUCAGAAGAUGGGAAGACCUCACCGUCGGGAACAUCCUCAGGAGGAGGAAUUACAGAAGUUCAAGAAGGAAUUUGAAGCAUGGCAGGCUGCAAGGUUUAGGGAGUGUUCAAGGGUUAUUGAAACUAGCAGCAUCAACAGACAGUCACUUGCUCAGGACGACGCCAGGGAGAUGGAACUAAAUGUAAACACAAGGAAAAUAUCGAGCCCAAAGCUCUCAGCAGAACUUAAAUAUCCGACAGUGGGUAUGAAAUCAUAUAGAAGAGUUGAUCUGGAUGGUGGUAUUAAGAGAGAAACAUUCCCUGGUGAGCAGAGGGGACCCUUCUCUUUGAGAAGCGAAUCCAUGGAUGCAGAUUUUGAGCACCCUUGCCUGAUAAGUAGUGAUCAGAAAGACAAAUUGCUUGGUCCAACAAAGAUUGUGAUUUUGAAGCCUGGUCCUGAUAAGAUGUGCCUCCAUGAAGAGCAUUGGACAAAUUCCUCAGGGACCUUAGGAGAAAGAGUUAGUAUUGAAGAUUUUCUUGAAGAGGUCAAGGAGCGGCUGAGAUGCGAAUUGCAAGGGAAAACUACUAAAAAGGGCUCUGCUGCUCGAGGAAGUGGAAUAGAGACGCCAUAUAGUGAGAAGUCAUCUCACUCGAGACAAAUAGCUCAGAACAUCGCAACACAGGUCAGAGACAGUGUCACAAGAGACAUUGGAUUCAAUUUACUUCGUUCAGAAUCCACGAGAUCAUACAAUAGCGGAGUUCAAUUUAAUGGGUUGGGUUCCCCAGAAUUCAUGAACAAAGAUACCAGAAGAUUCUUGUCAGGAAGACUGAGAAAUGUUCGACGGAAAGAUUCAGACUUAGAUAGUGGCAGCUCUAGAUCAUCUGCAAGUGAUCAUGAAAGAGUUUCAAAGCAAGUAGAAACUAUUUUGACAAAUGGAAAACAUACAAACUACUGGGAAGUACUAAGAGAUGCAGAAGAAAUACACAGUAGGUCUUUCAGGCAUGAGGCAGAUGAGGUUCUCCCCAAAGAAUUGUCACCUAGGAAUCUCUCCAGAUCAUUAUCAGCUCCAGUGUCAGGAACAUCGUUUGGGAAGCUUCUUCUGGAGGACCGCCAUAUUUUAACUGGCGUCCACAUUCAGAGAAAACAUGAAGCAAGUGAUCAUGUGGCGGUGAAUCUCAAAAAGCAGAAGAAAGAGAGGUUUAAUUUUAAAGAAAAGGUUUCCAAUUUCAGAUAUAAUUUCACUCUUAGAGGGAAGCUGUUUGGCAGAAAAACUCAAUCGAUUAGCGGAUUGGAUACUGCUGACCUAUACUCUACCAAAGACAUCCUGAGUGGACCAACUGUUGUAAUGAACUCUGGGGAGCGCCAUGAAAGGGAGAAUUUCACUGAGGUGCCUCCUAGUCCUGCUUCUGUGUGCAGCAGCGGCCAAGAAGAGUUCUGGAAGUUAUCUGAUCAUCACAGCCCAAUAUCAACUUCAGAUGUGACUCCUAGAGAUGAGAACUGUGUUUCCCAGGUCUUUAGGGAGAUCAGCUCUAACUUGAAAGAACUUCGAAGACAGCUGAGUCAACUUGAUUCCGAUGAUAUUGAGGACAGAGUGGAACAGCAGCCAGUUGAGUUUGAAAUCACAAAACUGGAAGAUCCAGCAGAAGUUUACAUACGAGACCUUCUUAUUGUUUCUGGUAUGUACGAUGGAUCAACUGAUCACAACUUUUCACGAAAUAAUGCAGCUACAAAGCCUAUCAGCAACGCUAUUUUUGACGAAGUGGAAGAAGCUUAUAGAAAAUCAGAGACGAAAAAUGAAAUCAUCGGGAAGGAACAGAACGAAAGUAAUGUAGAUCACAAAUUAUUAUUUGAUCUGUUGAACGAAGCCCUUCCAAUCGUACUUGGACCAUGCUUAACAACGUCCAGAUUUAGAACAAAAGUUAUCGACUCCUCUACACCGCUACCGCCUUUGUUCGGAAAAAAACUAUGGGAUUCUGUAUGGGACAUCAUACGCAAGUUUAUACACCCUCCAACUGAUAGAUCUUAUUACUUGCUCGAGGGGGUGAUGGCUCGAGAUUUAAAUUCAACUCCAUGGACCUCGUUAAUGGAUGUCGAGAUUAACACGACCGGAAGGGAGGUUGAAGGCUUGAUCAUCAAGGAUUUGAUUGAUGAAGUUGUGAAGGAUUUGCGAAAAUGAUGCAGAGUCUUUAGUUCUCAGGACACUGACCUUAUGCUACUAGACUUAGGAGUGGACAUAAAUUGCAUGGAAAUCAGCUAUUCAGGAUACACCACGCUUGAUAUUCACUCGAAAUAUAUUUUCUUUUUUGUAUUACUUUUACGUACAUAUGUCCUUAUUGGAUGUGUUUAAUACAGAUUGGCUUCAACUGAAGGUGUUAUUCAGAUUUUCUCCACGAAUCUUCCCUUUGCCGGCUCUCUUUGUAAUAGCCAGCGUCAAAAACCUAAACAGACUGCCACAGAUUUCAAUGCAAAAUUGCUUCGACAAAAUUAAGGUAUAACUUGCUUAAAACUUCCUUCAACUAUAAUUAUAAGGACAGAUACCUAUCAAACCAUGUAGAUUGAAUUUUAUGUCGUAUUUAUUGCUUCUACCCCCAACUAUAAGACAUGUUUAUGUGAUAUAUAGAAUGGGAGUUAACUCUAACACGAUCAGACAUGCUGGCACGUAUUAAAAGUUGCAUGAUUCUUGAUCUCUUAAUUUCAGG